GCACUUACCUGGCAGGGGAGAUACCAUGAUCACGAAGGUGGUUUUCCCAGGGCGAGGCUUAUCCAUUGCAUACAUUCACGUUUCAGGAUGUUUCUUUGGUCCUCCUGAACCCUACUUUUCUAUAUUCUCUUUUUUCUUAAGACCACUCACCCAACUUCAGC